rnacentral:lncRNA from 1 species
CGGGGCCGCCGGACCCCCGCCGAGCCGCCGCGCUCCCGGCGCCCCGAGCCACUGCCGCCACCAGGCUCCGGCUUCCGCCUGGGACCRGUGACACUGGAGCCCACAGAGGAUGGGCUGGCCGGGGUGGCCACGCUGCUGCUGCAGCUGCCGGGGGGGCCGCGGGGCCCCCACCGCGCCGCCCUGGGCUCAGCCCUCGUCGCCCUGCGCCACAACCUCCAGGAUUACUGGGGGGGCGGCAGUGGCGGCAGCGGCGCCGGGGGGGUGACGCCGCGCAAGCCAGGGGGGCCCGGUCACGACCUCACCUCCAUGUCACUCUGAGACCCCCCCCCCAGCGCUGCUGUGGGGGGGGGGGGACAGGACACAUGCACCAAACCCCCCCCCCAUCCCAGGUUAGGGGACACCAGCACCUGGGAUGCAAUGGGGCCACCCCCAGGCAUGCAAAUCCCAGGUGUGUUUAUGGGGGGGAGCUGCAUUGCCCCAUAUUUAUGGAGGGAUUUGCCCCCCCCAUCAUGCAAAACACCCCAGUAUUUAUGGGGGGGGGGCUACAUUGCCCCAUAUUUAUAGGGGAUUGACCCCUACAUCAUGCAAAACACCCCAAUAUUUGGGGGGGGCAUUGUCUGAUAUUUAUAGGGGAUUGGGCUCCCCUGUGCCAUCCAAAAUACUCCACUACUUGGGGGGGGGGCAUUGCCCCAUAUUUAUAGGGGAUUGGGGCCCCCCAUCAUGCAAAACACCCCUGUAUUUAUGGAGGGGGCAGGAUGGGGUGCUGCCCCCCCCCAGCCACAUCCCCAGUGUAUUUUGGGGGGGAAAUGGCACGUUCUCUGUAUUUGGGGGUUGGGCCCCCCCCUUGCCACUCCGUCCCGGUAUUUUGGGGGUUUCUCUGGUAUUUAUGGGGCGCUGCCCCCCGCCCUUUGCCACAUAUUUAUGGACCCCCCAGGCCUGGUUUCGCGCUGCCCCCCCACCGCGGGGGGGUCAAUAAAUGCCGGCUGUUGCCCCCAGCCCCAUUUGUGUCCCUGUGAGCGGCCAGGAUGCGGGGGGGGCAGCUAUUGGGGACUCCCUGGACCCCCCCCCAGGGACCCCUCCAGACCCCUUGAGGACCCCCCCAAAUCCUCCUACCCUUAGGGGGGUGCCUCCCCCCCCAUAUCACCCCAUCUUGGAGCCCCCCCCAAAUCUUCCUACAUUUGGGGGAAGACCCCCAAAUCCUCCUACCCUUGGGGGGACCCUAUAUCCUCACCCCUUAGAGCCCCACCUAAAUCCUCCUCUUUGGGGGGGGCACUCAAAGCCUCGAGCCCCCCUACAGAGCCCCCCAAAAUCCUACUGCCCCCCCUAGAG